rnacentral:lncRNA from 1 species
CUGCAUGGAAAACACAACGUAUAUAAAUCAUCACUUACGUAAGCUUAAAAAAAUAAGUCACCUAACAGAAUUUAAUUUGGUCUAUACCUUUGUCCUCCAAUGGGUCCACGCUAACAGAUCCAACACCCACUGCAGUUUCGACCACACCACGCACUUCCAUGCGGACUGAUGUUGCCUUUGGACCAACCUGAGUGCAAAUCACUGCAGUGUCGC